GACGAACGCUGGCGGUGUGCCUAAUACAUGCAAGUCGAGCGGAAGUUGGAGAGCUUGCUCUUCAACUUUAGCGGCGGACGGGUGAGUAACACGUGGGCAACCUGCCCUGCAGAUCGGGAUAACUCCGGGAAACCGGUGCUAAUACCGAAUAGUUUUCGCCACCUCCUGGUGGCGUACGGAAAGACGGUUUCGGCUGUCACUGCAGGAUGGGCCCGCGGCGCAUUAGCUAGUUGGUGGGGUAACGGCCCACCAAGGCGACGAUGCGUAGCCGACCUGAGAGGGUGAUCGGCCACACGGGGACUGAGACACGGCCCAGACUCCUACGGGAGGCAGCAGUAGGGAAUCUUCCGCAAUGGACGAAAGUCUGACGGAGCAACGCCGCGUGAGUGACGAAGGUUUUCGGAUCGUAAAACUCUGUUGUGAGGGAAGAACAAGUACCACUUAACUACUGGUACCUUGACGGUACCUCACCAGAAAGCCACGGCUAACUACGUGCCAGCCGCCGCGGUAACAC
rnacentral:rRNA from 1 species